AUUGAACGCUGGCGGCAUGCUUUACACAUGCAAGUCGAACGGCAGCAUGGAACAUGCUUGCAUCUUCUGAUGGCGAGUGGCGAACGGGUGAGAAACACAUCGGAACGUACCGUUUAGUGGGGGACAACUUCAAGAAAUUGAAGCUAAUACCGUAUAUGCACUACGGUAGAAAGCAGGGGCCUUUCGGGCCUUGUGCUAAACGAGCGGCCGAUGGAAGAUUAGCUAGGUGGUGGGGUAAAGGCUCACCAAGGCGACGAUCUUUAGCGGGUCUGAGAGGACGAUCCGCCACACUGGAACUGAGACACGGUCCAGACUCCUACGGGAGGCAGCAGUGGGGAAUUUUGGACAAUGGGUGCAAUCCUGAUCCAGCAAUGCCGCGUGAGUGAAGGAGGCCUUCGGGUUGUAAAGCUCUUUUGUCAGGGAAGAAAUCCUUAGUACUAAUAAUGCUGGGGUAUGACGGUACCUGAAGAAUAAGCACCGGCUAACUACGUGCCAGCCGCCGCGGUAAUAC
rnacentral:rRNA from 1 species